rnacentral:rRNA from 1 species
UACGGGGGGGGCAAGCGUUGUUCGGAAUUACUGGGCGUAAAGGGCUCGUAGGCGGCCAACUAAGUCAGACGUGAAAUCCCUCGGCUUAACCGGGGAACUGCCUCUGAUACUGGAUGGCUUGAGAUUGGGAGAGGGAUGCGGAAUUCCAGGUGUAGCGGUGAAAUGCGUAGAUAUCUGGAGGAACACCGGUGGCGAAGGCGGCGUCCUGGACCAACACUGACGCUGAGGAGCGAAAGCCAGGGGAGCAAACGGG